rnacentral:rRNA from 1 species
CCUACGGGAGGCAGCAGUAAGGAAUAUUGGACAAUGGCCGCAAGGCUGAUCCAGCCAUCCAGCGUGCAGGAAGAAGGCCCUAUGGGUUGUAAACUGCUUUUAUCAGGGAAUAAACCUCUUUAUUUAUAGAGAGCUGAAGGUACCUGAAGAAUAAGCACCGGCUAACUCCGUGCCAGCAGCCGCGGUAAUACGGAGGGUGCGAGCGUUAUCCGGAAUUACUGGGUUUAAAGGGUGCGUAGGCGGCCCUGUAAGUCAGGAGUGAAAGUUUGCGGCUCAACCGUAAAAUUGCUUUUGAUACUGCGGGGCUAGAAUUAGGAUGAGGUCAGCGGAAUGUGGCAUGUAGCGGUGAAAUGCAUAGAUAUGCCAUAGAACACCAAUUGCGAAGGCAGCUGGCUAGACCUGGAUUGACGCUGAGGCACGAAAGCGUGGGGAGCGAACAGGAUUAGAUACCCUGGUAGUCCACGCCCUAAACGAUGCUUACUCGACGUAUGGCGCUAGACGUUGUGCGUCCAAGGGAAACCGUUAAGUAAGCCACCUGGGGAGUACGACCGCAAGGUUGAAACUCAAAGGAAUUGACGG